rnacentral:rRNA from 1 species
AUUGAACGCUGGCGGCAAGCCUAACACAUGCAAGUCGAACGAGAGGCGUACGGGUGAGUAAUGUCUGGGAAACUUUCCGAUGGAGGGGGAUAACUACUUGAAACGGUAGCUAAUACCGCAUACCAUCUGAUGUGCCCAGAGGUGAUUAGCUAGUAGGGGGGGUAAAGGCUCACCUAGGCGACGAUCCCUAGCUGGUCUGAGAGGAUGAUCAGCCACACUGGAACUGAGACACGGUCCAUACUCCUACGGGAGGCAGCAGUGGGGAAUAUUGCACAAUGGGCGAAAGCCUGAUGCAGCCAUGCCGCGUGUAUGAAGAAGGCCUUCGGGUUGUAAAGUACUUUCAGCGAGGAGGCGUUACCCGCAGAAGAAGCACCGGCUAACUCCGUGCCAGCAGCCGCGGUAAUUC